rnacentral:rRNA from 1 species
GAUGAACGCUGGCGGCGUGCCUAAUACAUGCAAGUCGAGCGAACAGACGAGAGUGCUUGCACUCUCUGACGUUAGCGGCGGACGGGUGAGUAACACGUGGUAACCUACCUAUAAGACUGGGAUAACUUCGGGAAACCGGAGCUAAUACCGGAUAAUAUUUAGCUUCGCAUGAAGCAAUAGUGAAAGACGGUUCUGCUGUCACUUAUAGAUGGACCCGCGGUGUAUUAGCUAGUUGGUGAGGUAACGGCUCACCAAGGCAACGAUACAUAGCCGACCUGAGAGGGUGAUCGGCCACACUGGGACUGAGACACGGCCCAGACUCCUACGGGAGGCAGCAGUAGGGAAUCUUCCGCAAUGGACGAAAGUCUGACGGAGCAAUGCCGCGUGAGUGAAGAAGGUUUUCGGAUCGUAAAACUCUGUUGUAAGGGAAGAACAAGUACGUUAGUAACUGAACGUACCUUGACGGUACCUUACCAGAAAGCCACGGCUAACUACGUG